UGCCCAUGGCUUAGUGGCUAAAGCUGUUGGCUUUGAAUUUCGGUACUCGGGUUCGAUUCCAACUAGGGUAA